UUGAACGCUGGCGGCAGGCCUAACACAUGCAAGUCGAGCGGUAGCACAGAGAGCUUGCUCUCGGGUGACGAGCGGCGGACGGGUGAGUAAUGUCUGGGAAACUGCCUGAUGGAGGGGGAUAACUACUGGAAACGGUAGCUAAUACCGCAUAAUGUCGCAAGACCAAAGUGGGGGACCUUCGGGCCUCAUGCCAUCAGAUGUGCCCAGAUGGGAUUAGCUAGUAGGUGGGGUAACGGCUCACCUAGGCGACGAUCCCUAGCUGGUCUGAGAGGAUGACCAGCCACACUGGAACUGAGACACGGUCCAGACUCCUACGGGAGGCAGCAGUGGGGAAUAUUGCACAAUGGGCGCAAGCCUGAUGCAGCCAUGCCGCGUGUGUGAAGAAGGCCUUCGGGUUGUAAAGCACUUUCAGCGGGGAGGAAGGCGUUAAGGUUAAUAACCUUGGCGAUUGACGUUACCCGCAGAAGAAGCACCGGCUAACUCCGUGCCAGCAGCCGCGGUAAUACGGAGGGUGCAAGCGUUAAUCGGAAUUACUGGGCGUAAAGCGCACGCAGGCGGUCUGUCAAGUCGGAUGUGAAAUCCCCGGGCUCAACCUGGGAACUGCAUUCGAAACUGGCAGGCUAGAGUCUUGUAGAGGGGGGUAGAAUUCCAGGUGUAGCGGUGAAAUGCGUAGAGAUCUGGAGGAAUACCGGUGGCGAAGGCGGCCCCCUGGACAAAGACUGACGCUCAGGUGCGAAAGCGUGGGGAGCAAACAGGAUUAGAUACCCUGGUAGUCCACGCCGUAAACGAUGUCGAUUUGGAGGUUGUGCCCUUGAGGCGUGGCUUCCGGAGCUAACGCGUUAAAUCGACCGCCUGGGGAGUACGGCCGCAAGGUUAAAACUCAAAUGAAUUGACGGGGGCCCGCACAAGCGGUGGAGCAUGUGGUUUAAUUCGAUGCAACGCGAAGAACCUUACCUGGUCUUGACAUCCACAGAACUUUCCAGAGAUGGAUUGGUGCCUUCGGGAACUGUGAGACAGGUGCUGCAUGGCUGUCGUCAGCUCGUGUUGUGAAAUGUUGGGUUAAGUCCCGCAACGAGCGCAACCCUUAUCCUUUGUUGCCAGCGGUUAGGCCGGGAACUCAAAGGAGACUGCCAGUGAUAAACUGGAGGAAGGUGGGGAUGACGUCAAGUCAUCAUGGCCCUUACGACCAGGGCUACACACGUGCUACAAUGGCAUAUACAAAGAGAAGCGACCUCGCGAGAGCAAGCGGACCUCAUAAAGUGCGUCGUAGUCCGGAUUGGAGUCUGCAACUCGACUCCAUGAAGUCGGAAUCGCUAGUAAUCGUAGAUCAGAAUGCUACGGUGAAUACGUUCCCGGGCCUUGUACACACCGCCCGUCACACCAUGGGAGUGGGUUGCAAAAGAAGUAGGUAGCUUAACCUUCGGGAGGGCGCUUACCACUUUGUGAUUCAUGACUGGGGUG
rnacentral:rRNA from 1 species